rnacentral:rRNA from 1 species
AUUGAACGCUGGCGGCAUGCCUUACACAUGCAAGUCGAACGGCAGCACGGGAUUCAGGCAACUGAGCCCUGGUGGCGAGUGGCGAACGGGUGAGUAAUGCAUCGGAACGUGCCCAGUAGUGGGGGAUAACUAGUCGAAAGAUUAGCUAAUACCGCAUACGACCUAUGGGUGAAAGCGGGGGAUUUUCGGGCAACCGAGAACCUCGCGCUAUCGGAGCGGCCGAUGUCUGAUUAG